rnacentral:lncRNA from 14 species
GGAUACAGUAAAGGAUAACUCUGGUGUUUGGUUAUCUUACCAAUCCCAAGGACCAUGUCAUGAGGAUCAGGAAACCAGCUCCAAGAAACAUCAUGGCAGCAUGAGGUGUCAGGCUCAACCAUAGUGGGUGUCCCCGUGGAGGCAACAUUGACCUGGAUGGUACGAUGUUCUGCAUCCUUACAUCGCAUGUGGCUCAGGCUUUUAUACUGACAAAAAUGCACACUCAUUCCAAUGCAGGGGGCCAGCCUAUGUUGAAAGAAGUGGCCAGCAAUAUCUAGAAAGGUCUCCAAGUGUCCAGACUUUUCUGAGGAGUUCUAAAGCAGAACUAUGUGGGGAGGAACCAAAGCUGGACUUCCUGGGGAGCAGGCAGGGAAGAACCAAAGCGGAACCUUCCAGGGAGGAGCCAAAGCAGACAAACAGUACUUUUCUAACAUUGUGUGUUUCACCACGGACUAUUACCUAGUGUCCCUGACACACUCUCUCUUGGCUGGGGAAAAUGAACCUGGUUUGGAAUGUGCCUUUCAUUCCUCAAGAAGUAUCAGUAUGUGUGUGUCCAAGGUGUGUUCAAGUAAUCGAGCCAGGAUGACUUGUGGAUGACAUACAGGACAAGACAUGCCAGCACUGAAUCCUCACUGUGUAUCUUAAGAUCCUCUUCAUUGCUGAGAACAAACUGAUUUUGGCUAAGCCUUUUAUAGCCUUUAAGAAUCAACAGUUACUUUGAGCUUUUGCUUCUGUAUCUGGUUUCACUCUCUGUCUUAGUCACCAUUGCCAAGUCAAUGCCCUGCUUUUGUUUUCCCUGUCUAGUUAUUUUCUGGCUCCAGGCCAGUUCCUUUAUCAACCUUUCAUCUUACCUUAUGGUUUCAUUUUCUUGCUACCUGGUUAUUGAUUGAAACCAUGCUUAGGUUGCACUGUGAUCCAGGUGAACUGCUGACCUUAGGUAACAAUAUAUGCCAUUAUUUUAGUCCUUGUUCAACUGUUUCUUCUCAUGUUUCCACUUCCCCAAGUACAUUUCCAUUCUCACUUUGUU